GACGAACGCUGGCGGCGUGCCUAAUACAUGCAAGUAGGACGCAGUUGCGAACGGGUGAGUAACGCGUAGGUAACUACCUACUAGAGGGGGAUAACUAUUGGAAACGAUAGCUAAUACCGCAUACUAGUAGAUUGACCUGCGUUGUAUUAGCUAGUAGGUAGGGUAAUUGCCUACCUGGGCAACGAUACAUAGCCGACCGGAGAGGGUGAGCGGCAACCCUGGGAGUGAGACCCGGCCCAGACUCCGACGGAAGGCAGCAGAAGGGACUCUUCGGCAAUGGGGGGAGCCCUGACCGAGCAACGGCGCGUGAGUGAAGAAGUUUUUCGGAUCGUAAAGCUCUGUUGUUAAGGUAGCGGUACUUAAACAGAAAGGGACGGCUAACUACGUGCCAGCAGCCGCGGUAAUUC
rnacentral:rRNA from 1 species